rnacentral:rRNA from 1 species
GUGGGGAAUCUUGCGCAAUGGGCGAAAGCCUGACGCAGCCAUGCCGCGUGAAUGAUGAAGGUCUUAGGAUUGUAAAAUUCUUUCACCGGGGACGAUAAUGACGGUACCCGGAGAAGAAGCCCCGGCUAACUUCGUGCCAGCAGCCGCGGUAAUACGAAGGGGGCUAGCGUUGCUCGGAAUUACUAGGCGUAAAGGGCGCGUAGGCGGACAGUUUAGUCAGAGGUGAAAGCCCAGGGCUCAACCUUGGAAUUGCCUUUGAUACUGGCUGUCUUGAGUACGGGAGAGGUGAGUGGAACUCCGAGUGUAGAGGUGAAAUUCGUAGAUAUUCGGAAGAACACCAGUGGCGAAGGCGACUCACUGGCCCGUUACUGACGCUGAGGCGCGAAAGCGUGGGGAGCAAACAGGAUUAGAAACCCUAGUAGUCC